rnacentral:rRNA from 1 species
AACCGGCGUACGGGUGAGUAACACGUGGAUAACAUGCCUUGAAGCCUGGGAUAACCCGUCGAAAGACGGACUAAUACCGGAUAAGACCACGGGGAGUUCGCUUCCUGGGGUAAAAGGUGGCCUCUGCUCCUGCAAGCUAUCACUUCUAGAGUGGUCCGCGGCCUAUCAGCUAGUUGGCGAGGUAAUAGCUCACCAAGGCGAAGACGGGUAGCUGGUCUAAGAGGAUGGUCAGCCACACUGGGACUGAGACACGGCCCAGAGUCCUACGGGAUGCAGCAGUCAGGAAUAUUGCGCAAUGGAGGAAACUCUGACGCAGCGACGCCGCGUGGGUGAUGAAGGCCUUCGGGUCGUAAAGCCCUGUCGGGAGGGAAGAAAAGCUUGUUGGCUAAUAUCUAGCGAGCCUUUGACGGUACCUUCAAAGGAAGCACCGGCUAACUCCGUGCCAGCAGCCGCGGUAAGACGGAGGGUGCAAGCGUUGUUCGGAUUGACUGGGCGUAAAGGGCGUGUAGGCGGUUCGUUAAGUCGGGUGUGAAAGCCCGGGGCUCAGCUCCGGAAGUGCGCCCGAAACUGGCGAGCUGGAGCGCGGUAGAGGAGGGUGGAAUUCCUGGUGUAGCGGUGAAAUGCGUAGAUAUCUGCAGGAACACCCGUGGCGAAAGCGGCGAGCUGGAUCACUAC